CUAUAAGCGCAAAAACAAGAGUGUGUGUCCUCAACGCUCUUUGUAGUCUACAGAAACGCAUCAUUGAAUGGCGUGAUGACGGUCACUCUGGAGAGGACAUAGGAGAAAACUUCAGCGCAGCAGCUGUGCAGGAAAGUAUGACAACGUCUCGACUGGGACUAACACCGCCGCUGCCAUCAUCACCGCAGAGAAGAAACAUGGAAAGUUCGGCAGAGAGGCGGACCACCACCGGGCCCUGUGUCUCGCCAUGUGCAAAUAUGAGAUUAUUAUUCUUUUAAAAGUGACUCAUCACUUUAUGUUUCUCUUACAGGCGAGCGAGUGCUUUUAUUCAGCACUUCGACUCCUGUGCCAAAUGAUGUGAAUUAUGUAACAUGACGUGCAUUCAUUUGAAUGUGAAAUUUAGAAAAAGGAAAAGUUGGAGUUGAAGCUGUUGUUUUAUAGUGCAAUUGGAGGUGACAUAAAGACAGGAAACUGGAACUAUAAUUGUGGUUAAAAGUAUUGGUUAGAAAUAAAUAUUUUGCCAGUAGGUAUGUUUUUAGUUCUGGUAAGAAGGUCAGAAAGUUCAAAAUGACCGUUUGCUGUCCCAAGCGUUUAUCCUGCUGGCUUCUGCGUUAACCAAAGGCUGCACAAAGGAUUAAGAGAAAAUAAAUUAGUGCAACAACGUCAAAUGUUGCUGUCAGACAGAUCUAAACAAAGCGAAUGUCCAUGGUCUAACCAACUGUUGUGUUAUGUCUCAGUCCCACAGUCUGACUUGAAUGUUGCUACCACCAGGAAAUGGUGCGAAACAUCUCAUGGGGUAUACCACAACCAAUGGGGUGGACAGUGUGUGUGUGUGUAUGUGUGUAUGACUGUAGCACAAGCUGCAGUGUUUACAGUGCACCUUUUUGUCCCAAAUAAUACCCAGGGUACAAACAGAGGGAGAGACAGGGACUUGGCGUACGUCCCCUUUCUGUUUUAACUCACAUAACUGACAUGCUUAAAUCUCUGUGGCUAAGAGUGUUUGUGUUUUCUAAUCAACAGUAGACAGAUGACAACAUCUGGUGCUUGGCUGCAGGAGGACAUUUUUAGGGGUGUGUGAGAACUUUUUUCUCGAAAGAGGCCCUGUGCAUUGUGGUCCCCCCCCACCAUCCCAAGCUAAGUUUACAUACACUGUCUUGAAAUUGCUGUGUUGUCUGUUAAAUGUUGUCUAUAAAGGUUGUUGGUAAAUGUGCUUAUACAUUCUAUAGGUUUCUUUGACUGGAGGAGAGAUAUCUCCCCUGUCGCCUCCAGGAUAAACUUCAUUGCAGCCUCUGAGCCAAGACUCCUGAGCUGAUCUGACCCAGACAGGAGCUUGAGGUUGGAGGUGUUGCAACACGUGGAGAAAAAGUACACAUGCAGAACUGUGCGUAUGCAGUGAAGAGCGAGGCUGGCACAGGUCCAAGUCAGGUCAACAUACACAAACAUACACACGUCUGGCCUGUAAAUACGACCCGAACGAGCUCUGUGUGAACCAGUGGCCAGACUGCAGGCUGUUUACACCGAUGGGGAGAGUGAAAGCGCCCAGCAUUGGACCCGAUGGGAGGCUGGCACUGGAGCGGGGCCGCUUGUGGUCAUGGCGUGUAGUAGUAGUAAUGUGGACCUGGCAGGCAGUGGAUGCAGAGGGGUGGCUGCGGGGGUGGCAGUGCCCCAGCCAACCCGUGGUCGAGUGGUGGUUAACCAGUCUAGGUCACCUACACUUCCUCUGGCUUCUCUCCCUGGGAGGAAAAACAGUCUAGUCAAAAUAAUGGUGUCAUUUUGGCUUCUUACGUUUGAGCAAGGGGAGACAAAUUUAGCAGCAGCAAAGCAAAGGGAGGGGCCUAAAACAGAUUAAGAAACAAGCGAACAAAAUAUCAGUUCUGUUAUUUUUUUUUCUCUUUGAGCUCUUAAAUAACCAGUCUUAAAUGAGUAGCACAGCUUCACUGCAGCCUGUAAAUUCAAAUGUGUCAGCCUACGCAAGCAAUUAUAACUGGGCUCUGUCUUCCGCUGUUCUCCCUCCUGCUUUUUACCCACAGUGCCAUCUUAAUCUGUCCUCACUGCUUCUGACUGAGCUUUGACUCUGACCUGCUUCCUGUCUGUUGGCAGGACUGCUGUGCUGUGCAAAUUGAUAUGAUGAGGAUGAUAUUGUGUGUGUGUUUGCUGUAUGUGUGUAUUUCUGUGUGUCAGACCUCAGUCUGCAGACUCUAGGCCCGUCUCACAUGCCUUUGUGAGUGAUAUGAGCCUAAAAGUAUUUAUCACCCUGCUGCCUUGGCACCUGCUGAGGAGCUACUCAUUCAUAAGAAGUUCAUAUACUCUCAGCUUGAUUACUCACAUAUUGUUAAAGAAAUAGAUACACACACACACACACACACACACACACACACACACACAAUGAUGUUUUGUGAAAUAGACCACUCUAACAUCUGCUCUUUGGUAAAUAUAUAACCACAAACAGCAACCAGUUAGCUUAGCUUAGCAUUAACACUGGACACAGAAAAACAGCCAGCUAAGGACAAAAGGUGAAAGAACUGGAGUUACUGGGAUUAGUCAGAAGUGCCACACACACACACUCUCACGCAUGGCUGGUGUGGCCCGUUGCUAGCUAGCUCACAGUUAACCUCUGUACAGUUGGUACAUUUGAGGUAAAUCAACAUGAUCUGUGCAAAUGGUCCAGCGAACAAAUGUGCACAAAAAAUGACUUGAAGCAAAGCUUCCAUUUCUGCCUAAACAAGUUAUGUCUUGUUUAUUUAAUCCACAUACAUAUCAAAUUGUAAAACAAACGCAUUGAACUCCUCAUCUGACUCUCAGCAAGAAAGCAAAUAACUGUAUUUCUCAUAAUGUCAAACUAAUGCUAUGGAGGACCCUGCAUUUAGGCUCAUUGGAAAAGCUCCAAACUUGGCCUCCACCGGCUCCCUCCACAUGAUAUUUAUUUUAGUCGCCCUGUAUAUGUAACAUUAAGAGACAAAUUGGUUGCAGAACCAGUUUAGAAUUAGGAAGGUAUAAUUGCUAGGGCCCAACUUUUUUUUUUUUUUUUUAAAUCUCAACCCGAUAUAUCCAAACCUCAGACACAGUAAAGAUGCUCUUUUUCUUCACAGACUGCAGAUGGCUUGCCAUCAUUUUCCCAAUGGCCCUGGAACCAGAAGGUGUCUGAAUGAGACUAUGCUGUGAUUACCCUUCAGAGGAAAACCACGCGAGAUGACAGCCAGUUGGUAGGAAUGGCAGAGGUGGCAGACAAGUUUGGAGUGCCCACUCUCAAUCAAUGACGAGAUUCAAGCCACAGGCACAGCGUUGGGUAGCUGUGCUUUAUGUGUCAGCCAGUGGUGAGUUUUGGUUGGGUCUGACCUGGCUGUGCCUCACAGCUGACCCAGCCACAGUCCAAACAGGUUUAGACAGCCUCUAAACAAAGGAGGACACAGCACGGCUGGACUUUUGCAGCUAGAGACCUGCUACACGCUUGAAAUAGCAGCGAGUGGAAAUCCACGGGACAGUCCCCGUCACUAGUUGCCCAAUAACCUGGGUGACUGGCUCCCCCCUUAAUAGAGCCUGGAGCCUGACUCCCACUCACUCUGGCCUCUCGUGACGUAUGGAGGCACGAGUCACCACGCUGAAGUGGUAAGGCGAGUAUCAACAAAAACAAUUCCUCGCCUUUUCACUUGAGGAUUGUGGACUGAGCCCAUCUAAAAAUAUCCCCAAGAAAAACUGAGGGGGUGGCCGGAAUCGUGGUUGUGACAUUUAUUGGGGAAUCAUCCACUCCCUGCAUGCUGUAAAAACAUUGUCUUUUUCAGGAUGGAAAACAAAUGGGAUGAGUACAAUGUGGUAAAAUGAUGAAGUGAUGACCAGCAGAAUUUUCUGCCACUGGCUUCUGUUGUUAUAAUAUCAUAUUUUUAUGUUCUGAUUACCACAGAAUUCAGCCACAGCCUUAAUCCUGGUCUGCUUCACUUUUUAUUUUAUGUCUUCUGGAGUGCUUCCAGCUGUUUAGCACUAUUUGAGUCAUGGCUGUUUCACAAUAACAGGAACAAAGAUAGUUAACGGGUGCUUGCUAGUCAUCAUCCCAGCAACAGCACCUAAGUGGCAAAAUAACAUAUUGAAUGUUUGCAUCUGUAUGUUUUUGUGCUUUAGCUCAGGACUCCA